GAACAGAAAUUCUUGGCAAGUCAGUUCGUAUUAUAUUCUCUACAUUAGGAGUGUGCACAUUUUUUGCAGUUGGCUAUAUGCUGCUGCCACUGUUUGCUUACUUCAUCAGAGACUGGCGGAUGCUGCUGCUGGCGCUGACGGUGCCGGGAGUGCUGUGUGUCCCGCUGUGGUGGAGCCGGUCCAUGAAUGCUCCUGGCUGUGGGCAUACUGUACCAGGGACAGGACUUGCCCCAGACAGAGGCCAGCCUGGGACCAGCACUGACAAGCUGAGUGCUCCCCCUGAACAUUUACCAGUGGUCUUACCAUUUUCCUAUAAAAGAAAAUAGCUUUCUUCUGAACAUCCCAUCCUUGCAGGUUCAUUCCUGAAUCUCCCCGAUGGCUGAUAUCCCAGAGAAGAUUUAGAGAGGCUGAAGAUAUCAUCCAAAAAGCUGCAAAAAUGAACAACAUAGCUGUACCAGCAGUG
rnacentral:sRNA from 1 species